rnacentral:rRNA from 1 species
UGUCUCAAAGAUUAAGCCAUGCAUGUCUCAGUACAAGCCAAAUUAAGGUGAAACCGCGAAAGGCUCAUUAAAUCAGUUAUGGUUCCUUAGAUCGUACCCACAUUUACUUGGAUAACUGUGGUAAUUCUAGAGCUAAUACAUGAAAACAGAGCUCCAACCGGAGACGGAAGGAGUGCUUUUAUUAGAUCAAAACCAAUCGGUGGCGGGUCUUGUGCCUGUCAUCGUACAAUUUGGUGAAUCUGAAUAACUUUAAGCUGAUCGCAUGGUCUAGCACCGGCGACGCAUCUUUCAAAUGUCUGCCUUAUCAACUGUCGAUGGUAGGUUCUGCGCCUACCAUGGUUGUAACGGGUAACGGGGAAUCAGGGUUCGAUUCCGGAGAGGGAGCCUGAGAAACGGCUACCACAUCCAAGGAAGGCAGCAGGCGCGCAAAUUACCCACUCCCGGCACGGGGAGGUAGUGACGAAAAAUAACGAUACGGGACUCAUCCGAGGCCCCGUAAUCGGAAUGAGUACACUCUAAACCCUUUAACGAGGAUCAAUUGGAGGGCAAGUCUGGUGCCAGCAGCCGCGGUAAUUCCAGCUCCAAUAGCGUAUAUUAAAGUUGUUGCGGUUAAAAAGCUCGUAGUCGAAUUUGUGUCUUAUGCCGUUGGUUCAUCGUUCGCGGUGUUAACUGACGUGCCGUAGGACGUCCUGCCGGUGGGUUUAGUUUUAUUUUUCUUUUACAUCUUCGGAUGUGGAGAGGAUAGGACGGCCCAAUUCAAUCCUGCUGCGGUGCUCUUCAUUGAGUGUCUUAGUGGGCCGGCACGUUUACUUUGAACAAAUUAGAGUGCUUAAAGCAGGCUAAAAUUUUGCCUGAAUAUUGUGUGCAUGGAAUAAUGGAAUAGGACCUCGGUUCUAUUUUGUUGGUUUUCGGAACUCCGAGGUAAUGAUUAAUAGGAACGGAUGGGGGCAUUCGUAUUGCGACGUUAGAGGUGAAAUUCUUGGAUCGUCGCAGACGAACAGA